UUAAGUCCCGCAACGAGCGCAACCCUAUUGCUAGUUACCAUCAUUAAGUUGGGGACUCUAGCGAGACUGCCAGUGAUAAACUGGAGGAAGGUGGGGAUGACGUCAAAUCAUCAUGCCCCUUAUGACCUGGGCUACAAACGUGAUACAAUGGCUGGAACAAAGGGAUGCGAAGCAGUGAUGUGGAGCGAAACCCAUAAAAACAGUCUCAGUUCGGAUUGAAGUCUGCAACUCGACUUCAUGAAGUCGGAAUCGCUAGUAAUCGCGGAUCAGAACGCCGCGGUGAAUACGUUCUCGGGGUUU
rnacentral:rRNA from 1 species